UACGAGGGGGGCAAGCGUUGUUCGGAAUUACUGGGCGUAAAGUGUGCGCAGGCGGUGAUGUAAGACAGAUGUGAAAUCCCCGGGCUCAACCUGGGAACUGCAUUUGUGACUGCAUCGCUAGAGUACGGCAGAGGGGGAUGGAAUUCCGCGUGUAGCAGUGAAAUGCGUAGAUAUGCGGAGGAACACCGAUGGUGAAGGCAAUCCCCUGGGCCUGUACUGACGCUCAUGCACGAAAGCGUGGGGAGCAAACAGG
rnacentral:rRNA from 1 species